ensembl:lncRNA
GAACGAUGGGCACAGCCACGUGUGCCACGUGUGCGUGGGCCGCAAAGGCCCUCCGACCCCUGUGCUUCAGCUUCCUCCUCUUCUUUCUCUCGUGUUCAUCAUUCAUGUGCACACUGCAUUUCCUUUCUGCUUUCUCCCUUUUCUGUUCCUUGGAGAAGGCCCUCUGUGUUUCACCACCCUGAUGGGGCAGACAGGUUUUGUUCGAGUUGGUUUCAAUUGAACAUUUUGUGUGAAUGAGCUCUUCUCGCUUCUCCCUCUGUGCUCUCAGGUUCCCUUAUUAAACAGUUCUCUGCUGAAUUUGUUUUUCUCCUUUCUUUCCUUCCCUCCACCUUCCAGUUUUUUUCAUGUCUUCCACAUUACUUUCUGUGGAUUUUAAGGUGUUUAUGGAUUCAUUCUUUAAUUUGGGGGUUAGAAGAGGCAAGUCUGCCUCUGCCGCAAAGGAGAGGUGUGAUCCUUCAGCCCACGAUGGUCCCCUGGUGGUUAAAGGUGACAAUCUUGUAUGUGGUGUAGGAGAGGAGCUGGAAGACUCCGACCCUGUGCAGAGGAUAAAUGUCACUCUGCUCUCCAUCUUCUGUUUGAGUAGAUGAAAGAAACCAUGCGAGCAGGGCUGGAGGAGCUGCUGGCAGCCCGGCUCCUGCUAAUCUGGGAAUUGUAUGCCAGGAAGCACACACCCAGCCGACCUGCCCCAGACAAAGCCCGCCGUGUCCGCACCGGCUCUCCAGGCGUUCCCUGCGCGCCUUGGGGUUAUUUCAGAGUUAUCCCAGCAGGGGUUCCCUCCCCAGACUUCCACCUGCGUUGGCUGCGGCACUGGGGCACAUUGCUCCCGGCAUGGCUCACACGCUCUCCUUCUGCAAAAUGGGGCUGUGCCAUCAAAACUCUCCUGGCUGACCUGAAAUAACAGUGGUGAGAGGGGGAUCCCCCCCCCGCUCAUCUUGCAGGUGUUCAAUCUGGACCCGAAUGUUGGCAAAUUAACCAGGGCCAUCGUUACUUCCUCGCUAGAUGGGUUGAGCGGAGCUAUUGUGUCAAUAGACGCAUCCCACAUCACCUCUCUGGGUAGCAGAACUCCGCGUCCUUGAUGUGUCCUUAGGAACCUUGAGCUCCAAAUAAACUUCUGCGGGAUUUCCUGUAGAAAAGCACUACAUAAAAUGUGGGUAUUCUUAGCGGUGCCCCUCUGCCAGGUCGUGUGUCACACACCAGAGAUGCCAGGAGGAAGGGUUUGCCUCGGCUGAGUCACUUGGGUUACACACAGCGCUCUGGGAAGCAGCUGCUGUCAUCUGCUAAAUGAGGGCUGCCAGAGCUGACCGAGUCAUUUCCACAGCAUCCAAGCAUCCCUGGGUAGCGCAGCCCUCAUCCCUGUGCCAUUCCCACCGUGUGGGUGGGAACUGGAGGGGUCUGCACGGAACCACGCUUGGCACUGCAUGGGGUGGGUGGUGGGAGUGGGCAGGGUGUGUUCUGCUCUCCUCUACGAGGGCAGAGCCGGGCCCACUGCCGCGGUGAGCAGCUGCACGCUCACGUGGUGCUCCCACAUCCUGCACAAUGUAUUUCAAGAGCGCAGUUUACAAACACCAACACGGCGCUAGAGCAAGUGCUGCAACCUGCACGGGGCGGAGGUGCCUCUGCAAGCCUCGCUGCUUUCCUCGUGCUGAUGGGAGCUGCUGCAACACCGCGGUUCUAUCGCUGCUGCAGACAUGGAUGUGCCAUGGGAGCACUCCGGCACUCCAUCCAAUUUCCUGCUCCUUCCCGUGCGUCGGUGCAGCCCUGCUGUGAGCUGCACGCUCUCACUGCUUAUUCCCCAGCUCUGCUCUGCUUUGCACGGGAUGCUGCACCAACACGGGAUGAAUUAGACAGCCCUGUGCCCGAAAUAACUUUCCGUCUGAGGUUUCCAGGUCUCACAAAGCUGUUGUAAAGUUGAGCUACGAAUGAGAGAUGCACAGAUAUUCCAACGUAUGAGCCAACAUAAUAGGAUAUUUUCAAUGAAAUAUUCAUCUGGAUCCUCAGCCUGAGGAAGGGCUGCAGCUCUGCUGGCUGCUGUGGACUCACACUAAUUUAUUUUUUAUUACGACCCAUUUGUAUGAUGAUGGCAGCUGAGAGGUUCUGGAGAUCGCCUCCAGCCUAAGAUCCCAUUAUUUCAGGUGCUCUAAAAUCGCAGCGCAAGUAGACAAUCUGUGCCCCAAAUCUGAAACCACUAAGGAUGUAGCCUGGUAUUUUUCAACAACAAAGCUGCUCCAGCAUGCACAGCUCUUCCUCUGCACGGGGCAUCUGCUGAGCUCUUCCCUCCCCAUUCAGAUGAGCCUCAAAAGUCCCCUCUCAGCCAUUGGAAUCGCUGUGAAAGCAAUUGUCAUUUAACCAACAAAGAGGGCUCAGAGCCCCGGCCCAGACGGAAGAAAUGUUGGAGAAACAAAGAGCCCAUUUUUGAGGACAUCGUCCAUCUUGUGUGUCGGAUGAGAGAAGUGAUUCAAGCCCUGGGGGUGAGCACCCGUGGGCAGGAAUUUCUCAUGGGCUGAGUGCCCCCCUGCCCCGCUCCGGGACGGAGCAAUGCCCACUUUUAUGUGCAGAUAUAAUUGCUGCUUUACACGCAGAAUUGAAUCCCUUUGCAAACGUAGGGUGUCGGGCCAUCUAUCCCUGCUUGCCCCAACCACAGCCCUCCCAUAGGGACAUGUUGGCUUUGUGCAAUGGGGCACGCAAACAGGGGAUGUCCCAGUACGGAAAGCUGAGCUGGAGAUGCUCCUGGCUGGGAUAAGGAACAAGAAGUGGCCCCAUCAGAGGAACCCACGGCCGUGCUGCUCGGCCAGGCUGGGUGCGCUCCCUCCCAACACAUCGGAGCAUUUUGCUCACUGAGAUUUUGAUCAGAGGAAAUGUUCAUCACUGGCGAGCCAAACAUUUGGCGUUAAAACGAAAUGCCAGAUGGGAAGUGUUCUUGAUCCGCAAUAAAUAAUGCUCUGCUUUACCAACACAAACACACGUUGCGUCCCAGUUUGAAAGUCCAACGAGGCGGUCGUGUCCUGCCUCUGGAUGGGCUUCCAAUGAUCCACACGGAGCCAGCUGUGCUCCGGGGACAGCAUGUUUUCAUCAGCUCCCCAGGCACUGUGUGCCCACUGUGAGCCCCACUGAGGGGCCGAUGCUUUCCAAAAUCCCAGCCCAGCUGCUGCUCUGAGCCAGGCAGGCAGGAGCUGCAUUGCUGCAGCGUGUGAAAUAGCUUUUGGGGCUCUUGGUGCUAUAUAAAACCCAAUAUAAUGUUACCCAUAAUUUUUAAAGCCAGCUCUGGUCUUGCAAAUAAAACACCUCUAUGGUUCCCUUUCCUUUUCGUUAGCAA